ACCAGGCAGCCGAUGUGGCACU
rnacentral:misc_RNA from 1 species